rnacentral:rRNA from 1 species
UACGUAGGGGGCAAGCGUUGUCCGGAUUUAUUGGGCGUAAAGAGCGUGUAGGCGGCCAUACAGGUCAGCUGUGAAAACUCGAGGCUCAACCUCGAGACGUCGGUUGAAACCGUAUGGCUAGAGUCCGGAAGAGGAGAGUGGAAUUCCCGGUGUAGCGGUGAAAUGCGCAGAUAUCAGGAGGAACACCGGUGGCGAAGGCGGAUCUCUGGGCCAUUACUGACGCUGAGGAGCGAAAGCGUGGGGAGCGAACAGG